AUUGAACGCUGGCGGCAUGCUUUACACAUGCAAGUCGAACGGCAGCGCGGGCUUCGGCCUGGCGGCGAGUGGCGAACGGGUGAGUAAUGCAUCGGAACGUGCCCAGUAGUGGGGGAUAGCCCGGCGAAAGCCGGAUUAAUACCGCAUACGACCUGAGGGUGAAAGCGGGGGACCGAAAGGCCUCGCGCUAUUGGAGCGGCCGAUGUCGGAUUAGCUAGUUGGUGGGGUAAAGGCUUACCAAGGCGACGAUCCGUAGCUGGUCUGAGAGGACGACCAGCCACCCUGGGACUGAGACACGGCCCAGACUCCUACGGGAGGCAGCAGUGGGGAAUUUUGGACAAUGGGGGCGAACCUGCUCCAGCCGUGCCGCGUGCGGGAAGAAGGCCUUCGGGUUGUAAACCGCUUUUGUUCGGGAAGAAAUCCUCUGGGCUAAUACCCCGGGGGGAUGACGGUACCGGAAGAAUAAGCACCGGCUAACUACGUG
rnacentral:rRNA from 1 species